AUCUUACCAUGCAAGUCGAACGAUGAUCCCCAGCUUGCUGGGGGGAUUAGUGGCGAACGGGUGAGUAACACGUGAGUAACCUGCCCUUGACUCUGGGAUAAGCCUGGGAAACUGGGUCUAAUACUGGAUACGACCUUCUGGCGCAUGCCAUGUGGGUGGAAAGCUUUUGUGGUUUUGGAUGGACUCGCGGCCUAUCAGCUUGUUGGUGGGGUAAUGGCCUACCAAGGCGACGACGGGUAGCCGGCCUGAGAGGGUGGACGGCCACACUGGGACUGAGACACGGCCCAGACUCCUACGGGAGGCAGCAGUGGGGAAUAUUGCACAAUGGGCGCAAGCCUGAUGCAGCGACGCCGCGUGAGGGAUGAAGGCCUUCGGGUUGUAAACCUCUUUCAGUAGGGAAGAAGCGAAAGUGACGGUACCUGCAGAAGAAGCGCCGGCUAACUACGUGCCAGCAGCCGCGGUAAUACGUAGGGCGCAAGCGUUAUCCGGAAUUAUUGGGCGUAAAGAGCUCGUAGGCGGUUUGUCGCGUCUGCCGUGAAAGUCCGGGGCUUAACUCCGGAUCUGCGGUGGGUACGGGCAGACUUGAGUGAUGUAGGGGAGACUGGAAUUCCUGGUGUAGCGGUGAAAUGCGCAGAUAUCAGGAGGAACACCGAUGGCGAAGGCAGGUCUCUGGGCAUUAACUGACGCUGAGGAGCGAAAGCAUGGGGAGCGAACAGGAUUAGAUACCCUGGUAGUCCAUGCCGUAAACGUUGGGCACUAGGUGUGGGGGACAUUCCACGUUUUCCGCGCCGUAGCUAACGCAUUAAGUGCCCCGCCUGGGGAGUACGGCCGCAAGGCUAAAACUCAAAGGAAUUGACGGGGGCCCGCACAAGCGGCGGAGCAUGCGGAUUAAUUCGAUGCAACGCGAAGAACCUUACCAAGGCUUGACAUGAACCGGAACGGCGCAGAGAUGUGCCGGCCACUUGUGGCCGGUUUACAGGUGGUGCAUGGUUGUCGUCAGCUCGUGUCGUGAGAUGUUGGGUUAAGUCCCCGCAACGAGCGCAACCCUCG
rnacentral:rRNA from 1 species